rnacentral:rRNA from 1 species
UACAGAGGUGGCAAGCGUUGUUCGGAAUUACUGGGCGUAAAGGGCGCGUAGGCGGCCUUCUAAGUCAGACGUGAAAUCCCCCGGCUUAACCUGGGAACUGCGUCUGAUACUGGACGGCUUGAGUUUGGGAGAGGGAUGCAGAAUUCCAGGUGUAGCGGUGAAAUGCGUAGAUAUCUGGAGGAAUACCGGUGGCGAAGGCGGCAUCCUGGACCAACACUGACGCUGAGGCGCGAAAGCUAGGGGAGCAAACGGG